GGCUGCGCACGCUAAUCACCGCCUAGCCCCGUCCCGCGAGCAGAGCCGCUUUCAGCUUUUCGAGUCGCCCGGUUCCGCCGGCCUCUCCUGUUUCCCACGGAUGGGACCUUCCGAAGGGCGCCGAAUGGGGCUCUGGAAGGGACCACUGGGAAAGCGGGGGGGGGGGGCCCGAGCGGAGCGCCGCGCGGCUUCCUUUGGCUCGAGUACAAUAGCGGGGCUGCGGGGCGCCUACAGCUCCCAGGCUGCGGGGCUGCGGCCGGCGCCGCGCGGCAUGCCGGGACCUGUAGUCGCGGCGGGGCGGCGGCGCCCGCUCGGGCCCCCGGCCGGGAAGGCAGGGCGCCGGGGCGGGUUUUGCGUUGUUGCCCUCUUACCGAGGGUGCCGCUGAAAGGGCCGGCGGGAGGCCUCGAGCCGCGGAAGGAGGCCGAGGCGGGACGCAGGGCUCCCGGAGGCCGAGCGGCCGGCGCCGCUGCGCUGAUGUUCAUGGAGGCUAAUGUACGGAGGACAGAAGGACACAUCAAGGAACUGGGAGAGAGAUCCAGUGCUGUGCUGAGGAAGGAGGACAGACAAUUUUCCUGUUCAAAGAUAGCUUCUUAUGUCCCCACAAGAGGAACGCCGAUAUCAGUGGGAUAUGUGAUUCCAACUGCUGGAAAUAAGAGAAGAAAUCGGGUGCUAUUUUCUAUCUCUCUGUGUGUUUUGAAACGUUUAAAAUUGGACCUAUGAGUUCCCAAAUGGAAAUACUGCUGUCCCUGGACUCCACCGUACACUUGGCAGAGCCUAUUUUGCUGCGAGUCGAAGGGCAGCUGCAGAGCUAUUGUGGACUGCGCGGAGGGAACCUCAUUUGCCUGCCUGUAACAAAGCUUCGGUGAAGGGUAUUCCCCAGGCCCCGCAGCAGCACCUCUGCAACGGAAACGCACGCAGCAGAAGGCAAGCCUGUACACAGGGCAUCGUAGGUGCUCUCAAAUCUUUGCCUACAAGUAUCAGGAAAAGCGUGAAAAAAUGGCCAGCAUGUUUAAAAGACACCAGGAAAUAGUCUGAAUAUUCACAUUUCAAAAUUUGAUUUUGAAACCAGUUAUUUGAAUAAAUAGUUUGCAGUGCCCCUUUAAAAAGAACCC
rnacentral:lncRNA from 1 species